CUGCUGCCUUCCGUAGGAGUCUGGUCCGUGUCUCAGUACCAGUGUGGGGGGCCUUCCUCUCAGAACCCCUACGCAUCGUCGGCACGGUGGGCCGUUACCCCGCCGUCUACCUAAUGCGACGCAUGUCCAUCCUAUGCCGGGUCGCCUCCUUUGACCACCUGGAGAUGUCUCCAAAUGGUGUUAUGCGGUAUUAGACGGAAUUUCUUCCGCUUAUCCCCCUGCCAUAGGGCAGGUUCCAUGCGUGUUACUCACCCGUGCCG
rnacentral:rRNA from 1 species